rnacentral:lncRNA from 1 species
GACAGGAGCCAACUGAAAGAUCUCCCAAUGGUCAAAACUAGAGUAGUGUGGGCAACAAGUAAAUAAAGUAGUAUUGGAUUAUAACCCAAAGUAUAAAAAAGUAUUUGUGAUUUCAUACCAAUAUAAAUAAAUGAUUCAGUAAACUAUAUGAGCUGAGAGAAUGGGUAGCCAAACCUUUAGAAGGGUGAGAGUAAAAACAGGUAUCAGUGGUUCCUCAGAAAGAGGGAGCAUCAUGAGAAACAGUAUAGGAAAACAUGAAAUAUGUGGAUGAUUUUGUUUGAUUGAAGAGAGAGUAAAAAGGAGAGAGGAAGGAAGUGAAGGUAUAUGAGCAAGAGAUGAGCUUCGAUUUGAAUUUCCACUUCACGCUGACCCUAUUCCGUCAGUCCUGGAGUGGGAAAUUGAACAAGCCUUGGAUGCAAAAGAGAGAGAGACUUUCUCUGGACCUGCGGGCUGGCUGAGGAAGGAUUCUGGUGGUGAGUGCCUCUGACUCGUGGAGCAGGCCAGGUGAGCAGUACCCUUGACUUCCAGUUGUUUUCCUCUUCUUGGACCAUCAACAGGAGUGCCAGGGACAGCAACUAUGGUGGGUGCUUUGUUUCCAAACUGCUCAUCUUGACAAGCAACAAUUCAGAAAACUGAGAAUAAUCUGAGGACUCACGGUGAGCAGGUACCACUCCACAGUCAUAGGGGAGGAGUAGUUCUUAGUACAGUGUUACCCUCGACCCUCACCCCCCUGACACGGUGGAUGCAUCUUUGGGAGAACACUUGCAUGUGAAAGAUGAGCAUAGCUGGUUGCAUGGGUAAGACAACCGGAAAGGGAUGGUAGGACCCAGUUCCUCCUCUGCCCCUAGAUGAAAACUUGAGCUAUCCCCUGAACUUCCUGGACUCUCUCUGUAAUUAAAAAAAAAAGUUAUCAGUUAUUUAAGGUCUCAAAAUAUAGUCUCAACUUACAAAUUAAAUUGUCCAAUCUCACAUCACAGUGGAAUUUUCUAUCUAGAUUUACAGUCCUGACUUUUCUCCUCCUUCUACCUUGGGUUUGCUGCAGAGAGGAAGGCUGAAGUGAGAGAAGAGGGUCCAAGGGGCCACUCUUCCCUUUUCCAUUCAGUUCUUUUACUCUUCUCUCCCCGCUCCUGCUUUGUAUACCUCCGGGGCUGGAGCACAAUGAUUCAGAAGAAGGAAAAGGAGCACAAGGGUUCUGCCAUGAGUGGUCCUGUUGAGUGAGGGCACACAUCUGGGUUUUCCAGAAUCCUCAUUGCUGGAGGUCUUCAUCUUCAGCACUUGCGAUGAUGAUGCCUCCUCCCAGCUAGCUGCUUAUUCCUUUUGCAGCCUCCUUGCACGUGGUGGUGCCCCAACUUUGUUUCUGCCAAGUUCUUCUCAUCUAUUCAGGUCCUCUUAGGUAAGACCUCAGAUGGCCGCAUGCAGGCUCUCUCUCACACGACCCCAAGCGUGGGCCGGCUUUCC